rnacentral:ncRNA from 2 species
GAAGGAGGGCCCCUUCGAGGUCGGCAGUCAGGUUCUGGCCUCAAACCACUGCAAGCUGCUGUCGUUAAGAGCGACGGUAGUGAGCGUUGCAGUCAACGUCGGGACCAGAUCCCGGCGGGU